rnacentral:miRNA from 1 species
GUGGCUCCACUCACUUCCUUC